rnacentral:lncRNA from 1 species
GAGUGGGUUUCCAGCGACUUCGGGCCCGCUUUUGGGCCGUUUCCGGGCCCCAGAUCCGUGAGUCGCUUUGGGAAGUUUCGUUUCUCGCGUCGCCGCCGUCGGAUUGAUCCGAUUUGCGCGCGAUUUGGUAAGUAAUCUCACUAAUCCAUAUUAGUUGGCUAAUUAUGCUUAAGGUUGGUUUAGUUUUAAUUAAUUAUGUUUAGGUUGUUAGAUUAUAAUAAAUUAGCAAUUAUUAGUCAAUUGUGAUGCAAUUUAGAUAAAUUGAUUGUGCAAUUAGCAAGUAGACGUGGUCUACUAAUUAUUGGAAGUGCCUCGAGAUUUUUCCCAACCCUUAGAGGGCUCCAAUUAGGCUUUUCGGGCCUAAGUGGAAUUUUUUUAGUAUUUAAAUAUUAAUUUUCGGAAUUAAAUUAAAUAAUUAUUUAUUUUCCGAAAAUUCAGCUGAGAUGGUCCGGAACCGGAAAAUUAUGCUGAUGACCGUGGUGGAGUCCGUUUGUUUAAUUGAGUUUUAGUUUGUGCUAAAUUGAAUUUUUAAUAUUUAUUAAUUAAGUUUCGAAAUUAAUUAAUUAUUUAUUUAUUUUUCGGAAAUUAAGAUUUUGAUGGCCGACGACCGAAAUCUCGUGCUGAUCGUCGUGGCGCAGUUCGUUUAUUUAUUUGAGCUCUACGUUGCAUGGAAUUGAAUAAAUUGUGAUGUUUUAGGGAUUUACCCUAAAUUGAUUUGGAAUUGAUUGAGAUUGAAUGAUUGAUUGGUAGAUAGCCGAGUAUGUUUGUUUAGCAUUUAUAAUGCUUUGAUUGAGUUGUAAAGUGGAUGGAGUUAUGAGAGAAUUGGAAAUACUCUGGGAUUGAACCAAUCAGACACAGUGUAUGGACCUACGUGGUUCGGUGAUUGAGAUAUCACUGGCAAAAACGGCACCUUAAAGAACGCACGUAUCGGUCUAGUACUCAUAUUGUUAUAGGCAUGUAUGGUUCGGUGACUAAGGAUGUCACUGGCGAAAACGGCGCCUUAAAGAACGCAUACACUUGUCUAUUAAAUACAUUGUUAUAGGCAUGUGUGGUUCGGUGAUUUGGGAUAUCACUGGCGAAAACGGCACCUUAAAGAACGCACGCAGUUGUCUAUUGAGUACAUGGUUAUAGGCAUGUGUGGUUCGGUGAUUUGGGAUAUCACUGGCGAAAACGGCGCCUUAAAGAACGCACACAAUUGUCUAUUUGAGUACAUGGUUAUAGGCAUUCGUGGUUCGGUGACUAAGGAUGUCACUGGCGAAAAUGGCGCCUUAAAGAACGCACGCAAUUGUCUAGUGAAUAUGUCACUUUGGCGAACUUGACGCCCGAGAGUAUUGACCUAGAAUGGUCCGUCUGACAUGUAAUCGACUAGUUCGAUUAAUCAAUGAAUUGAUCCGAUUGUUGUGAAAUGAUUGAUUGAAUGGAAAUGACCGUGAGUGGUCUUGUUGGCAUAUAAUCGACUAGGUCGAUUUGAUCGAUGCUUCCAUCGGUGAUAUGAUUGCUUGGGUGCCUAUUAUGAAUUGUACUGACUUGCAGGUAGGAUGUGAGGCCAAGGUAAGUCCUCUGUCCUGUGCGUGUUUAGGCAGCCUAUAGUAUAAUGGUUUACUAAUCGGGCUUAGUGGGGUAGAACUCGCUGAGACGUAGUCUCAUCCCAGUUUGGGGAAAUCAUUUCAGGACCCCGCUAAGGAGCUGAGGAGGAAGAGUCGGAGAAGGAUUUUUGGGAGAAGAAGAUAAUCCUGAGAGGGGCCUUGAGUACGGCCCAGAUGGACUGAGAUUCUAUCUUCUUUGAUAUCUCC